rnacentral:rRNA from 1 species
UGGGGAAUAUUGCACAAUGGGGGAAACCCUGAUGCAGCAACGCCGCGUGAAGGACGAAGGUUUUCGGAUUGUAAACUUCUUUUAUUGGGGAAGAUAAUGACGGUACCCAAUGAAUAAGCCACGGCUAACUACGUGCCAGCAGCCGCGGUAAUACGUAGGUGGCGAGCGUUGUCCGGAAUUACUGGGUGUAAAGGGCGAGUAGGCGGGAUUGCAAGUCAGAUGUGAAAUUCAGAGGCUCAACCUCUGAACUGCAUUUGAAACUGCAAUUCUUGAGUGAUGGAGAGGCAGGCGGAAUUCCCGGUGUAGCGGUGGAAUGCAUAGAUAUCGGGAGGAACACCAGUGGCGAAGGCGGCCUGCUGGACAUUAACUGACGCUGAGGAGCGAAAGCGUGGGGAGCAAACA